ACUUCCUGUUUGGGGGUAUGUAACCACUCUGUAUACCCACUUUUUUGGUGCCCUUCUUUCCUUGGGGAAGUAAGGCCCCAAGCUAGUCCUCAGAUCUGGCUCAUAAUAAACUCACCUCAA